rnacentral:rRNA from 1 species
UGACAUGAGUAGCGAUAAAGGGUGUGAAAAGCACCCUCGCCGAAAGCCCAAGGUUUCCUACGCAACGUUCAUCGGCGUAGGGUGAGUCGGCCCCUAAGGCGAGGCAGAAGUGCGUAGUCGAUGGGAAACAGGUGAAUAUUCCUGUACCGGUUAUUACUGCGAUGGGGGGACGGAGAAGGUUAGGCCAGCCAGGCGUUGGAUGUCCUGGUUCAAGCGUGUAGUCGUGGUCUCUAGGCAAAUCCGGAGAUCUUAGAUGAGGCGUGAUAACGAGUCUGCUUGCAGACGAAGUGGUUGAUACCCUGCUUCCAGGAAAAGCCUCUAAGCUUCAGGUAAUAAUCGACCGUACCGCAAACCGACACAGGUGGGCAGGUUGAAAAUACCAAGGCGCUUGAGAGAACUCAGGAGAAGGAACUCGGCAAAUUGAUACCGUAACUUCGGGAGAAGGUAUGCCCCGGUAGCUUGUAGUCGUACAGACGAAGGGCGAUGGGGCCGCAGAGAAUCGGUGGCUGCGACUGUUUAAUAAAAACACAGCACUCUGCAAACACGAAAGUGGACGUAUAGGGUGUGACGCCUGCCCGGUGCCGGAAGGUUAAUUGAUGGGGUGCAAGCUCUUGAUCGAAGCCCCGGUAAACGGCGGCCGUAACUAUAACGGUCCUAAGGUAGCGAAAUUCCUUGUCGGGUAAGUUCCGACCUGCACGAAUGGCGUAACGAUGGCCACACAGUCUCCUCCUGAGACUCAGCGAAGUUGAAAUGUUUGUGAAGAUGCAAUCUCCCCGCGGCUAGACGGAAAGACCCCAUGAACCUUUACUGUAGCUUUACAUUGGACUUUGACGGGACUUGUGUAGGAUAGGUGGGAGGCUUUGAAGCCGGGACGCUAGUUCCGGUGGAGCCAACCUUGAAAUACCACCCUGGUGUCGUUGAGGUUCUAACCUUGAUCCGUGAAUCCGGAUCGGGGACCGUGUAUGGUGGGCAGUUUGACUGGGGCGGUCUCCUCCCAAAGAGUAACGGAGGAGUACGAAGGUCUUCUAGGUACGGUCGGACAUCGUACUGAUAAUGCAAUGGCAAAAGAAGGCUUGACUGCGAGACCCACAAGUCGAGCAGGUGCGAAAGCAGGUCAUAGUGAUCCGGUGGUUCUGUAUGGAAGGGCCAUCGCUCAACGGAUAAAAGGUACUCUGGGGAUAACAGGCUGAUUCCGCCCAAGAGUUCACAUCGACGGCGGAGUUUGGCACCUCGAUGUCGGCUCAUCACAUCCUGGGGCUGUAGCCGGUCCCAAGGGUAUGGCUGUUCGCCAUUUAAAGUGGUACGUGAGCUGGGUUUAAAACGUCGUGAGACAGUUUGGUCCCUAUCUGCCGUGGGCGUUGGAAGUUUGAGGGGACCUGCUCCUAGUACGAGAGGACCGGAGUGGACAGAUCUCUGGUGUACCGGUUGUCACGCCAGUGGCAUCGCCGGGUAGCUAAAUCUGGAAGAGAUAACCGCUGAAAGCAUCUAAGCGGGAAACUCGCCUCAAGAUGAGACUUCCCUGGGGAUUCGAUCCCCCUGAAGGGUCGUUCAAGACCAGGACGUUGAUAGGUCAGGUGUGGAAGCU